rnacentral:miRNA from 1 species
UCCAGCUGUGAAUUCUGGGCUCACC